rnacentral:rRNA from 1 species
UAGAUACCCCACUAUGCUUAGCCCUAAGUCUUGACACUUCCCAAACCAAAGUGUCCGCCUGAGAACUACGAGCACAAACGCUUAAAACUCUAAGGACUUGGCGGUGUCCUAAACCCACCUAGAGGAGCCUGUUCUGUAAUCGAUAAUCCACGAUGCACCCGACCACUCUUUGCCCAAUUCAGCCUACAUACCGCCGUCGCCAGUCUACCUAACUUGAAAGAACAGCAGUGAACACAACAGCCCUAACCACGCUAACAAGACAGGUCAAGGUAUAGCCCAUAGAGUGGAAGAAAUGGGCUACAUUUUCUAAACUAGAAAAUCACGAAAGGGGACAUGAAACUCUCCCUAGAAGGCGGAUUUAGCAGUAAAAUUGGACAAUAACGCCCUCUUAAAACUGGCCCUAGGACACGUACAUACCGCCCGUCACCCUCCUCACAAGCUACAUAGAUAAGUAACUAACAACAACUUUCAGCCAAAGACGGAGU